CACAGAGCGAGUGUGGGCUCAGAUGGACAGAUGGAGAGCUGGCUGCUGCUGUGUGGGUCAGGCACCCACAAAGGCCCACAAAAGCCGGAGAGGGGGGGGACAAAGGCAAACUGAAGUGCUUGGUCAAAGCUGACAGGGCUGCUGAGUCAUCACUGAUGCUGGCUCAAACUGAUAAUUUGCAGAAAUUAGAUCACACUGGGCAUUUUGUUCCAGCUUGACCUAUAGGUCUACACCAGACAUGCAGCAACACAGUGCAUUCAUUCACAUCCUGCCUGAUCGAAUUUGCCGAGCUCAUUUGUGCAUACAUGCUCGUAUUCUCCAAGAAAAUCAAUCAGUGUAAAGCCGGGAGGACGUCACACAUAAGCCGAUGGGGUACGAGUUAAAUUGAUUGACUUCUCACGAAACACACUGUUGAACAUUGUGUGUAGUAUAGACAAACAACCCUGUUUAAAGAUAGAGCACGUUAAAUAUUAUUACUUGCCAACACAAAAAUGAAACUUUGGAAAGGCAUUUCAUUUGUAGAAGUUAAAAAAACAGUUAA